rnacentral:rRNA from 1 species
UACGUAGGGUGCAGGCGUUAAUCGGAAUUACUGGGCGUAAAGCGUGCGCAGGCGGUUUCUUAAGUCAGAUGUGAAAGCCCCGGGCUUAACCUGGGAACUGCGUUUGAAACUGGGAGACUUUGAGUGUGGCAGAGGGGGGUGGAAUUCCACGUGUAGCAGUGAAAUGCGUAGAUAUGUGGAGGAACACCGAUGGCGAAGGCAGCCCCCUGGGUUAACACUGACGCUCGAUGCACGAAAGCGUGGGGAGCAAACAG